UGGGGAAUAUUGCACAAUGGGCGAAAGCCUGAUGCAGCAACGCCGCGUGAGCGAUGAAGGCCUUCGGGUCGUAAAGCUCUGUCCUCAAGGAAGAUAAUGACGGUACUUGAGGAGGAAGCCCCGGCUAACUACGUGCCAGCAGCCGCGGUAAUACGUAGGGGGCUAGCGUUAUCCGGAUUUACUGGGCGUAAAGGGUGCGUAGGCGGUCUUUUAAGUCAGGAGUGAAAGGCUACGGCUCAACCGUAGUAAGCUCUUGAAACUGGAGGACUUGAGUGCAGGAGAGGAGAGUUGAAUUCCUAGUGUAGCGGUGAAAUGCGUAGAUAUUAGGAGGAACACCAGUAGCGAAGGCGGCUCUCUGGACUGUAACUGACGCUCAGACGCGAAAGCUAAGGUAGCAAACG
rnacentral:rRNA from 1 species